UCUUUGCUAGUAUAUCGGUUAGUACACGCGCCUGUCAUAACAAGUGAUUCAUUUCAUCACGCGCGAAAGCUGGGUUCGACUCCCAGGCAAAGAG